rnacentral:rRNA from 1 species
UACAGAGGUCUCAAGCGUUGUUCGGAUUCAUUGGGCGUAAAGGGUGCGUAGGUGGCGCCGUAAGUCGGGUGUGAAAUUUCGGAGCUUAACUCCGAAACUGCAUUCGAUACUGCCGUGCUUGAGGACUGGAGAGGAGACUGGAAUUUACGGUGUAGCGGUGAAAUGCGUAGAUAUCGUAAGGAAGACCAGUGGCGAAGGCGGGUCUCUGGACAGUUCCUGACGCUGAGGCACGGAAGGCCAGGGGAGCAAACGGG